rnacentral:rRNA from 1 species
AGAGUUUGAUCCUGGCUCAGGACGAACGCUGGCGGCGUGCUUAACACAUGCAAGUCGAACGGAAAGGCCCUUUCGGGGGUACUCGAGUGGCGAACGGGUGAGUAACACGUGGGUGAUCUGCCCUGCACUUUGGGAUAAGCCUGGGAAACUGGGUCUAAUACCGAAUAUGACCAUGCGCCUCCUGGUGUGUGGUGGAAAGCUUUUGCGGUGUGGGAUGGGCCCGCGGCCUAUCAGCUUGUUGGUGGGGUAAUGGCCUACCAAGGCGACGACGGGUAGCCGGCCUGAGAGGGUGACCGGCCACACUGGGACUGAGAUACGGCCCAGACUCCUACGGGAGGCAGCAGUGGGGAAUAUUGCACAAUGGGCGCAAGCCUGAUGCAGCGACGCCGCGUGAGGGAUGACGGCCUUCGGGUUGUAAACCUCUUUCAGCACAGACGAAGCGCAAGUGACGGUAUGUGCAGAAGAAGGACCGGCCAACUACGUGCCAGCAGCCGCGGUAAUACGUAGGGUCCGAGCGUUGUCCGGAAUUACUGGGCGUAAAGAGCUCGUAGGUGGUUUGUCGCGUUGUUCGUGAAAACUCACAGCUUAACUGUGGGCGUGCGGGCGAUACGGGCAGACUUGAGUACUGCAGGGGAGACUGGAAUUCCUGGUGUAGCGGUGGAAUGCGCAGAUAUCAGGAGGAACACCGGUGGCGAAGGCGGGUCUCUGGGCAGUAACUGACGCUGAGGAGCGAAAGCGUGGGGAGCGAACAGGAUUAGAUACCCUGGUAGUCC